AUUAGCCACCAGUGUUAACAAAUGCUUGCUCUAGUUGUUGGUUUCCUGCUUCUUCCAGAACUCUAAGUGAUUCAAGUGUGUCUGCCUCCUCAGGUUGUUUCCAGACCUGGCUGAGUUCAAGCUGGUUUCCAGACUCUUCUUAAAGAGCGUUCUCUGGGUUCUGGAUAAAGGAUUCAAGUCUCCAGUUAUCUCCUCCGGAUCAAGUUCAAGCUGGCAGCUUCCUGGCUCUUUGACCACGUGGAUCUAGUCAUAAGCGACUCCUGUCCACUCUCCAACCAGCUCUCGUGAAAGUACCUCCAACCUGUGUUCCACACCAUCAUUCCACUCUCAUCACACAGUCCUGGAUCAGAGCUCCUAAGGAUCUACCUCCUUAGAACUGCUCCUGUGUUGCGCUCUCAGACCCUGCAUCUCUCAUCCCUCUGGCGGUUCAACUUCCUCCCCCAUUGGUGAUUUACCAGUCCAGGAUCUCAACCCCAUAUCACUCCCAUGAAAAUAAAACUUUUAAACUUUC